rnacentral:pre_miRNA from 1 species
AGCCAGCNCAGACUUUCUGCGUGCCUCAGCCAUCUCUGGGCGAGUACCUCUUUGAGAGGCUCACUCUUCAAGCAUGACUAGGAGG